CGGUAUUUUAACGAAACUUCCUGGUCAUUCUAACAUAUAAUCACAGCUGAGAAACACUGGUUUAGGUUGUACUGUUUCUGAGAAAAAUUAAGAUUUGUAUUUGGAGAUGUACCUACCUUAAGGGGUCAGAAAGUAUGAAAAUUAGCUCUGUAUCUCUCUCAACUGGUGGGAAUGUUGCAAAGUAAACCACAUUCAAGGAUUCACGUCCACCCUCAUCCAUGAAGUUACAGAUACCCCUACGUGUCUCCAUUGUCUCCCCAGGCUUAGAAGUGGCAAUGAACGUUCCUGUCCACUCUGCUGAGGUCGUCGGGGAGGGAUUCAUCAAACUGCAGCUCUCAGUCAGCAUUCCCAGAGGGAGACCUCUUCCCACGGGUGGGGUUGUGUGUUAGCAUUGCGGCGACGGAGAGGAUAAAGCGGCAAGAGGAAGAGUCAUCCUGCCUCCCCCUCUCCUGUGGAAAAGGCAGGCAGCCCACCAGGAGGACUUCAGCUCCACAGAGGGCCAGAUGGCAAUAGGCCCCUCACAGGGAAGCCAGCAGCAGGGGUGGCAGAUGGUCCCUAGCCUGCAGAGGAUCUCUGCAAAGAGGCUUCAUACAAGAGGGAACAAAGUUUCUGGCACCACCAUGCAGUAUGUGCUAGUAAAUGUUUAACAAAUAGCUGUCCAGAAAAAAAAGUCUCUGAUUUGUAGCACUGGCCAAUUUUCGUGGUGUAAACACUCUCACCGUCAUCAAUUUCAGGCUCUCAACCUGAACAAGGAGUCACUGAAAGAGGAGUUGGGAAGAAACGUGCAAGAUCAGCUCUGGCAGGCCAGUAGGAGCAGCGCUAGCAUGCCGCUGCCCCGGGCUAGGCCUGCAGGCCUCCCACAGAAGGGAAGGAGAGCCCAGCGAAUUCUUAGGGGACUCGAUGUAUUUUCUAUAGAUUUCUGCUCUCUGUGUGUUCCCUCUUCUCUUUCAACAUAAACAAUGAACAUUCGGCUGUGAUUCCGUUAAGUAUGACCUCAUGAACUCAGGGUUUAAAAAAAGUCAUUUUUCAGAACCACAGCCUAUAUUUGGACCCAAAUUGGCAGAAAGGACUGAGGGUUACACCUUUUAUAAAAUAACAACAAUAAAUAUUUUUUAGUAUUCUUCA
rnacentral:lncRNA from 1 species